UUUAUAAUUAUAUUAUAUAUAAUAGCACUGCUGGCUCAUUGGUACAUUUCAUAAGUACCUUAUCAAAUGUUCCAAUGGUCGGGCAGAGCUAUUAUUUGUCCAUGUUUUGGACUAG
rnacentral:precursor_RNA from 15 species